UUACUUACCCGGCAGGGGGGAUACCAUGAUCAAGAAGGUGGUUUACCCAGGGUGAGGCUUAACCAUUGCACUCCAGUUGUGCUGACCCCUGCAAAUUCGCCAAAUGUGGGAAUCUUGAUUGCAUAAUUUCUGGUAGUGGGAGACUGCAUUCGCGCUCUCCCCUG